CAAGGUUUCCGUAGGUGAACCAGCGGAGGGAUCAUUA
rnacentral:rRNA from 1 species